rnacentral:snRNA from 1 species
GUGCCUGCUUCGGUAGCACAUAUACUAAAUUGGAACCAUACAGAGAUUAGCAUGGCCCCUGAGCAAGGAUGACACAAAUUCAUGAAGCAUUCCACUAAAAA